UUUCUCUAGAAAUAUCAUCAUUU
rnacentral:siRNA from 1 species